UGUUGCUAAUGAUGAAAUUUUGGGAUUUGCAAAGUUGUUCAAUGACGAACUUACCCUCGAUAAUAUCAGCAGGCCGCGUUUAGUAAACAUGUGCAAGUAUAUGGGUAUCCAACCUUACGGAACAGUCACUUACUUGCGAUACAUGCUGCGCAAAAGAUUACAAUGGAUAAAGAAUGAUGACAGGAUUAUUCAAGCAGAGGGUGGUGUGGAUGCUCUUUCUGAAGAUGAGCUUCGUGAAC